CAACAAGAGGUAAAAAUGGAAAACAGGACACGUAAACGGGGAACGACCCUUCAUCAGUUGUCGGCUGUCUAUCUACUCCUCAUUUCGAGCAUUCAUCGACAAUAUGAGUCUUCAAAAACAGUUCCUCCCAUAAAUUCCAAAAACAAAUUUUGGAUUUAUGGAGGGUCAGUGUUGGGAACAAAAA